rnacentral:lncRNA from 1 species
AAUGCUCAGGACAAUAUCUGACAUCAAUGUUACGUCUUUUAUUUUAUAAAUGAAGACAAUGAGACUCAGAAAGGUUUAAGUGAGUCACCUAAGAACACACAGACAGCAAGAGGUAGAACCCGAAACUGAACACAGGUGUCCACGAGACAACAAAAAAGUUCAGGUUCCAGCUUCCUUUGAGUCUCUCAUUUCAACAAUGGCCAUCGUCUGCAUACGAGCUGAAGUACAGGAAAGCUGGGCUGAACUCUCUUCCCAUCAGGCCUAGGAGCCCCAGACCAGAACCCCAGCCCAAGUUCUCCCAGUCAGGCCCGCUGGAGGGAGCUGGCAUCUACACUAGCAUGGUUUCUCAAAGCUACAGGGAUGCCAGUCUCGCUGCUGAUGAAGAAAAUGAAGGGCAUUUGCUUCUCCUGCAGGCUGUCGGGAUUUAACACAGAUUCCUUUUCUUGCUCUCUUCUCCCAUAGCACAAAACUGGGUGGUCCAUCCCCCUCCCAGUGUCCCAAGGCUUUGUUGCGUGUUCUCUUUAAUUUCUCCCACUCUCGCAGUGCACCCUACCCUCGUCUCCCUGGCAACCUUUCUGCUCUAUCCUCUCGCCACCUGGAUCACAAGAACACUUGUGAGACCCCUUAACAAGCUACAUCCCAAAUUAUCAUUCCCCUUUGUCCUCAGCCAGUGCCCGGGUCCAACUCGCUCUCCUGGGGUGACUUUCUUUCCUGCCCAAUAUGGUUUCAUCAUCUGUAAAUUGGGGAUAAUUGAAGUCUUGAUCCUGAUAUUGGGCUCUGAAAGCAGAAGUAGCAAGCUCAGCCAAGUCACUUCAACAAGAGGAGACGUUCCUUGUGAACCAAAAGGGCACUGGUCACAAGGGCCGCUCCUUCUCUCAGGCCUCUCCAGCACGCCCUUGGCUCAGCCAAAGAAGAGACUCAGGCUGUGCUUCUGUGCUGUGGGGAUAACAGACGGGGUUUUGCUAUGUUGCCCCGGCUGGUCUUGAACUCCUGAGCUCAAGAGAUCCACCCACCGCAACCUCCCAUAGUGUUGGGAUUACAGGCGUGAGCCACUGCACUCAGCUUCUUUUCUAAUUUGUUUUUAUUCUGAGAUCAGAUGAGAUCGGCAUGUUCAGGUUGGUAUGGCCAUAGACUG